rnacentral:rRNA from 1 species
CGAAAGCCUGACGGAGCAAUACCGCGUGAGGGACGAAGGCUUUUGGGUCGUAAACCUCUUUUCCCUGAGAAGAAGAUCUGACGGUAUCAGGGGAAUCAGCAUCGGCUAACUUCGUGCCAGCAGCCGCGGUAAUACGAGGGAUGCAAGCGUUAUCCGGAAUUAUUGGGCGUAAAGCGUCCGCAGGUGGCUCUGUAAGUCUGUCGUUAAAGAAUGGGGCUCAACCCCAUACAGGCGAUGGAAACUACAAGGCUAGAGUUUGGUAGGGGUCACGGGAAUUCCUAGUGUAGCGGUGAAAUGCGUAGAUAUUAGGAAGAACACCAGCGGCGAAAGCGCGUGACUGGGCCAGUACUGACACUCAUGGACGAAAGCU